rnacentral:rRNA from 1 species
UACGUAGGGUGCAAGCGUUGUCCGGAAUUAUUGGGCGUAAAGAGCUCGUAGGCGGUUUGUCGCGUCUGCUGUGAAAACUCGGGGCUUAACCCCGGGCCUGCAGUGGGUACGGGCAGACUAGAGUGCGGUAGGGGAGACUGGAAUUCCUGGUGUAGCGGUGAAAUGCGCAGAUAUCAGGAGGAACACCCGUAGGCGAAGGCGGGCACUCGGUCGGCGAACUGACGCUGAGGAGCGAAAGCAUGGGGAGCGAACAGG